AUAAUGCUCUUAGGUCAGGACCGUUACCUGUUACAGAUGAGGGGGCAUGUGUUUGUGUUACUGGACUUUAGGAUGUGAAGGCCAACUGUAUUUUUCCCCCGUUUCCUCUUCCUCUCUUCUCCCUUAUGGCUCACAUCAGGUAUAUAGUCCAUGGGAAAAGGAAUAGAGUGAGAUGAAAGGGCGCCUAGUUCCCAUAAGAGCUGUUCCGAUUCACAACAAUCCAUAACCAGCUUAACCAGUUCAGAAUGAAGGAAGUUCUGCGCUGACAUUGUGGAAAAAGCUGUAGUAAGAGCCAGAUUGCUGGAGAAGCGAGAUUGGUGAACAGAGGAAGUAAUAAUAGCGUGUGUCCUGACUGAUAGGGUACUGGACCCUCUUGUAGUUUCAGCAGUGACACGGUGAAACCGUAUGACAGCUUCAUUGCCUGUCCUGAGAACAAAGAAGUAUUUUAGACCCAAGAAUGCUUUGUUGUUCACUCUGAACCCCCUUUUAAGCAAACAUUCUUAUCUCAGAUCUUGAUAAGAAGGCAAGGCCGCCACCAACUUCCCUCUUCUGACAUCACAGUUUGUAUGGCCGACUGUCCAGCAAGG
ensembl:lncRNA